rnacentral:miRNA from 1 species
UGAGGCAGGAGAAUUGCUUGAACCCAGGAGGCGGAGGCUGCAGUGAGCUGAGAUCAUGCCACUGCACUCCAGCCUGGGUGACACAGCGAGACUCC